rnacentral:rRNA from 1 species
UUUCCCUACGGGGGGCAGCAGUCGGGAAUAUUGCGCAAUGGAGGAAACUCUGACGCAGUGACGCCGCGUGCAGGCCGCCGGUUUUCGGCUUGUCCCCUGCUUUCGCCAGGGCAGCUAAUGACAGUACCUGUAGAAUAAGCUCCGGCUAACUACGUGCCAGCAGCCGCGGUAAUACGUAGGGAGCAAGCGUUAUCCGGAUUUAUUGGGUGUAAAGGGUGCGUAGACGGGAAGGCAAGUUAGUUGUGAAAUCCCUCGGCUUAACUGAGGAACUGACACUAAAACUAUCUUUCUUGAGUGCUGGAGAG